GACGAACGCUGGCGGCAUGCUUUACACAUGCAAGUCGAACGGAAAGACCCUGCUUUUGUGGAGUGCUCGGGUGGCGAGCGGGUGAGUGACAAGUGAAUAACCUGCCCUUGACUUUGGGAUAACUUCGGGAAACUAGGGCUAAUACCGGAUAAGAGCUCCUGCUGCGUGGUGGGGGUUGGAAAGUUUCGGCGGUUGGGGAUGGAUGCGCGGCUUAUCAUAUUGUUGGUGGGGUAGUGGCUUACCAAGGCUUUGACGGGUGUCCGGCAUGAGAGGGUGACCGGCCACAUUGGUACUGCGAGACGGCCCAGACUCCUACGGUAGGCAGCAGUGGGGAAUCUGGCACAAUGGGGGGAAGCCUGAUGCAGCAACGUUGCGUUUGUGAUGACGGUUCUGGGGUGGUAAACCGGCUCCGCCUGUUACGAAGCGUGAGUGACGGUAACGGGUAAAGAAGCACCGGCUAACUACGUG
rnacentral:rRNA from 1 species